rnacentral:lncRNA from 10 species
GCCAGAUAUAGCCCAUUAUCGCUGCAGCUACAGUGUGCAAGCUCAUUGAGAAGUCAGGGAACACUUUAUCAAUGAGGAGGCUGUCCCAGAAGCUCUGGCGUUGGGUUUCACGUGAAGGGAUGAAGGUGAAGAGAAAGGCUCCAGAGAUAGCAGGGCCUGCUUAUCUGAAAUGCUUCCCCCAGUGAAGUCAAAGUGCCACAGCCAUCUCAGGUGGAAAUGAACCAUAGAACGUCAGAGCUGGAAGAUCUCGGAGGCUUUACAGAAGGAGAAAAUGAGGCCCAACGAGAGUAUCUGGAUUGACCAAGGCAAAGAAUACAUGUCUGUAUUUAAAUCACCAGCUGACCACUAGGCUAACAAAACAAAGACUUCAGUGGCUAUAUACAACAACAAAUAAAGUCUUUUCAAAAUUAAUUAAGGAAAGAGAACUAAGCAAUCAAACAACAACAAUCACAAAAAGCAGCUGCAAUAAACCCUGGUGGGAGGAAGAUGAUUUCCAGAUGUGCCAUAUCAUAAUAUUCAAAAUGUUCAGCUUUCAACAAAAAAUUAUGAGUCAUGCAAUGAAACGAGAAAGUGUAGCCCAUACACAGGAAAUAAAGAAAUAAUAGAAACAGUUCUUGAGGAAGACAAGACAUUGAACUUACUAAACAGAAUAUAAACCAACUAUUUAAAAUAUACCCAAAGAGCUAAAGGAAACUAUGUACAAAAAACUAAAGGAAAUAAUGAGAAUUAUAUUUCAAAAAAAUAGAGAUUACCAAUGAUGUGAUAGAAAUUGUAAGGGGAACCAAGGAGAAAAUCUAAAGUUGAAAACUACAAUAAUUAAAAUAAUUUUUUUUCAGAGAGAUUCAACAGCAUAUUUGAACAAGUAGAAGAAAGAAUCAGCAAUCUUGAAGAAAGGUCAAUUGAGAUUACUCAGUAUGAGGAGCAGAAAGGAAAAAAAUAAAGAAAAACGAAUGAAGCCUAAGAUACCUGAGGUACACUUUCAAGAGUACCUAGGAGUUUCAGAAGGAGAGGAGAGGAAAGAAAAGGAGAGGAGAGAGGAGAGAGAGAGAGAGAGAGAGAGAAAUAAUAGUUGAAGUAAUAAAGGCCAAAAUUUGCCAAAUUUGAUCAAAGACAUGAAUAUACACAUCCAAGGACCUCAAGUCUCAGUGAAACACUUCAUAAUCAAACUGUUGAAAACCAAAGACAGAAUCCUGAAAGCAGCAGAAGAGAGGUGAUUCAUCACAUACAAGGCAUCCUUAAUAAGAAAUACAGCUGGUUUUUUAUCAGAAACGAAGGAGGCCAGAAGACAGUGGGAUGACUUACUCAAAAUAUUGAAAGAAUAAAAUGGUUAACCAAUACUUUUAUAUCCAGGAAAAAUAUUCUUCAAAAAUGAAAGAGAAAUGAAGACAUUUCCAGAUAAAGAAAAACUGAGAGAGUUCAUUGCUAGUAGACCUGCCCUGCAAGAAGUGUAAAGGAGGUCGUUCAGACUGAAAUGAAAGGACACUAAAAAGAAACUUGAAUCUACAUGGAGAAAUGAAGAACACCAGUAUAGGUAAUCAUGUAAAUAAAUAGAAAAGUCAGUAUAAAGGCAUUUGUGGUUUGUAACUCCUCUUUUUUUCUAUAUGAUUUCAAAAAUAACUACAUAAACAAAUAAUAAUAAAUAUACAUUGAUGGGCACAUGAUGCAUAAAGAUGUAACUGAUGACAGUAACAACAUAAGCAGAUGGGAGAACAGAAUACAGAAGUAAUGUUUGUUAUACUAUUGAAAUUAGUUGGUACUAAUUUGAACUUAUCUAAUUGUUAUAAAUUAAUUGUAAUCCCCAGGCAACCACUAAGAAAAUAACUAAAAAGUAUAUAGUAAAAUAAACGAGAAGGAAAUCAAAAUGGCAUAUGGAAAAUAUUUAUCUAACAUAAAAGAAGGCAGCAAUGAAAUGAAAUUGAGGGACAAAAAAUAUGAGAUAUAGAAAAAAUAGCAAAAUGGCAGGAGUAAGGCCCUCUCCAUCAGCAAUUACAUUAAAUGUAAAUGGUUUAAACUCUACAAUUAAAUGACAGAUUUUUCAGAAUGGAUUAAACAAACAAACCAUGAUCAAACUCUACACUGUCUCCAAGGACAUGAAUUGAAUGAAAGUGAGAGAACAGAAAAAGGCAACACAUGCAAAUAGUAACUGAAAGAGAGUUGAAGUGGCUACACUGAUAUCAGACAAAAUAGACUUUAAGGCAUAAAUUGUCACAAGAGACAAAGAAGGACACUAUAUAAUGAUAAAAGGGUCAAUCCAUCAAGGAUAUAUACAAAUUACAAACAUAUAUCCACCCCAAAAAAGAGACCCAAAAUAUAUAAAGCAAAAACUGACAGAAUUGAAGGAAGAAAUAGACAGCUCUACAUAUUCUAGAUAUUUCAACACCUCACUUUCAAUGACGGAUAGAAAAACUAGAUGAAAGAUAAACAAAGAAAUAGGAGACUUGAACAAGUUUAUAGUGUUAUAACUAUAACACUAUAAUUAUAGUUAUAGUUAUAAACCAACAAGACCUACCACAUAUACAAAACACCCAAGGACAACAAAGUACAUAUUCUUCUCAAGUGCACAUGAAACAUUCUCCAGGUAGAACAUAUGUUAGGUCACAAAACAAGUUUUAAUAAAUUUUAAGAUUGAAAUCAUAAAAUGUAUAUUCUCCAAUCUCAAUGGGAUGAAAUUAGAAAUGAAUAACAGAAGAAAAACUGGAAAUUUCACAAGUAUGUGGAAAUUUAAAAACACACUCUUAAAUGACCAAUGGUUCAAUAAAAAAAUCACAAGGGAAAUUAAAAAAUACUCUGAGAUAAAUGAAAAUAAAAACACAAUAAAAAAUUAUGGGAUGCAGUGAGAGCAGUGUGCAGAUGGAUAUAUAUAUAGCUGUAAAUGCCUACAUUAAAGAAGAAAGAUCUCAAAUAAUCUAACUUUAUACCUUAAGGAAGCAGAAAAAGAAGAGCAAACUAAAUCAAAGCAAGCAGAAGGAGGGAAAUAAUGAAGAUAAGAGCAGAGAUACAUGAAAUGGAGUAGAAACAAUAAAGAGAAUCAAUGAAAUUAAAAGUUGGUUCCUUGAAAAGGUGUUUUAAAAUUGACAAAACUUUAGCUAGAUUACCUAAGCAAAAACAGAGAAGAUUCACAUUACUCAAAAAGCAGAAAUAAAAGUGGAGACAUUACCAACGACCUUACAGAAAUAAAAGAGUAUAAGCAAAUAAUACGAAUAAUUGUACACCA